rnacentral:rRNA from 1 species
UACAGAGGGUGCGAGCGUUAUUCGGAAUUACUGGGCGUAAAGCGCGCGUAGGCGGCUUUGCAAGUCGGGUGUGAAAUCCCCAGGCUUAACCUGGGAACUGCAUUCGAGACUGCAUUGCUAGAGUAUGGGAGAGGGAAGUGGAAUUUCCGGUGUAGCGGUGAAAUGCGUAGAUAUCGGAAGGAACAUCAGUGGCGAAAGCGACUUCCUGGACCAAUACUGACGCUCAUGUGCGAAAGCGUGGGGAGCAAACAGG